AGGGAGAUGAAGGUGGGCGAUGGAAGCCGCAGUGAUAUCCGAGGUGGCGGGCUGCGGCGGCGCUGCUCGUCGUAGAGGAAGGCGGUGAUCUCUGGAGAACAAAAAUCUCCCACAACGUCGUCGUCGCCCCCUGCCUCCAGCCUUCCCCAAAUUCGCUAGGUAUCACUUUCGCCCAAAUCAUAGGACAAGUUUUACCAGGAAGCUAGGGAGAUUUCAAGUUGAAUUCAAAGGGUAAAUUUGUAAUCGUGAAAAAUAAUCAACAUUACUGUAGAAAGUGUGAAAACAUAACUCGGGGUGGGCGUGAGUUGUAGUUUCUAAGGAGAACAGUAGAUUUCAUGCGGG
rnacentral:lncRNA from 1 species